GAUGAACGCUGGCGGCGUGCCUAAUACAUGCAAGUCGAGCGAACAGACGAGGAGCUUGCUCCUCUGACGUUAGCGGCGGACGGGUGAGUAACACGUGGAUAACCUACCUAUAAGACUGGGAUAACUUCGGGAAACCGGAGCUAAUACCGGAUAAUAUAUUGAACCGCAUGGUUCUAUAGUGAAAGACGGUUUUGCUGUCACUUAUAGAUGGAUCCGCGCCGCAUUAGCUAGUUGGUAAGGUAACGGCUUACCAAGGCGACGAUGCGUAGCCGACCUGAGAGGGUGAUCGGCCACACUGGAACUGAGACACGGUCCAGGCUCCUACGGGAGGCAGCAGUAGGGAAUCUUCCGCAAUGGGCGAAAGCUUGACGGAGCAACGCCGCGUGAGUGAUGAAGGUCUUCGGAUCGUAAAACUCUGUUAUUAGGGAAGAACAAAUGUGUAAGUAACUAUGCACGUCUUGACGGUACCUAAUCAGAAAGCCACGGCUAACUACGUG
rnacentral:rRNA from 1 species